ensembl:antisense 4933413L06Rik RIKEN cDNA 4933413L06 gene
AGAGCUGAAAACAACCUAGAUGUCCCACGACAGAAAAAUGGAUACAGAAAAUGUGGUCAUUUCCACAUGGAAUACUACUUGGCUAUUAAGAAUGAGGACAUCCUGAGCUUUGCAGGCAAAUAGAUGGAACUAGAAAAUAUCAUCCUGAGUGAGGAACUAUUCAGUACUAAUUGCCAGCAGCUCUUUUUGCUCUGGUGAGGAUAAAGUCAAUAAGAUAAUAUUUUCUCACAAAGAAAUGGAGAAGAACAAAAAAUAAGAUUGUCUGAUGCUAAUACUAUGAAUAAUAAUCAAAGAAAGGAAAGACCUGUGGAAAUGAAGGGUUCAAGAAUACAACCUAUCUUAUGCUACCAUAAUUUAGAAUACAGGAGAUGGCUAACCCAUGGGACUUGGAAAAUCCAGGAUUAACUAGUUAAACUGUCCAGAAAGCUCUGAUCUCAGCUGUUCACUGGCAGAACAGAUUGCCUCCCAAGUGUUUCUCUGCCAUUCGGUAUUCCUCAGAUGUGAGAGAGCCAUAAGCAAAGACAAGUCUGGCUUGUGUAGAAGUCUUGUAUCAUUCACUGAAGAAAGGAGUAAACGACUGAGGAAGAUCAUGUCACCCAUUGGCAUCCACAUGUAUCUGAAAAGAAGUCCGUGUGCCCCUCCCUGCAUGCAUGUGAAAACAUACAUGCAUGCACAACACAGAUGCAGAAUGAGUUUCUAGUAUUGCAUCAAGCUAUUGGACUAUGAUUAGCUGCGAUGUUAAUUUUGGGUAAAGUGAUGCUUCUGCAUCAUCUUCCUCAGAAGAAAGAAUGAUCAGUUGUACUGCACUGG